CUCUCCACCACUCAAUGUGUGCUCUUAUAACCAAGAUCAAAAAGGUCUUUAUUGAAGGUUGUAACGUAGGCUCUUUGGUAGGGUAGGAUAUAUUUGGCUAAGUGACUAAAAGAUAAUUCUCAAUGUAGCACAAUCACCAACCUUAUAACAUUCUAACUCAACAAUCAUCCACCUAUCACAAAAACCAAAUUUCCAAUACAAAAUCCAUCACAACACAAUAAUUAAUUCUCAUGAUAUUAUGACUUUCUAAAGCAUCCUAUGUACCCAUUUUUUUCAAUUCUUUUCUCUCUUUUCUUUUCUUUUUUUUCUCUCUUUCUUUUCCUUUUUUUUUCUUUUUUUUUUCAACGACUUGUAGGGUACUAGGAUUUUUUCAAUCAAGAUCAAAGUACAUAAUCCAUAAACACACAUCUCCACAAACCAACUACCCCAUAACAACAAUCUCCAAGCUCCCACCCACGGCUAAACCAAAUAAAAUGGAAAAUAAAAGGCUCAAAGGGGUGAACUAGGAUCAUAUAUAGUAAUAGGACAAAUAUGGGAUAUAUAGGCUAGCAAAGACGGCCUUCUAUCAUCUCAAAGUUAUUAAGCACACUAUGUGACCUCGAGGGAGAAACCAAGACAAGUUCUAGUGAGACACAUGCAUGCUCGA
rnacentral:lncRNA from 1 species